GGAUGGAAAAUGUUCCAACAGGUCGUAGGGCAUAGAUCCUGACAAUACCUAUCGAUCCUUUUCCUUAUCAAUAUUCAUUUCUCCCUUUCCAUUCUGAGGACAACCUUCGGCAGUUGCACGGCAUCCAGGAGAGUAUCCAGCGGAUGAGACAAGUCAGCGUGCAGACACUACGACUCCAGUCGCAGGUGGGCAGGAGACUUCGCUACGGAGGAGUCGGCGCUGGAUGCAACUGGAGCCUUUCCUGCCCGUCACUGAACGGAAGUGGCGGUAGCGGUGGUGGCCAAGGAGGAGUUGCGUCUGGAUUGGCUGGCCACGGAAAUGG